CACUACAGUAUAGAUGAUGUACUA
rnacentral:miRNA from 1 species